rnacentral:rRNA from 1 species
GAUGAACGCUGGCGGCGUGCCUAAUACAUGCAAGUCGAGCGAACAGACGAAGAGCUUUCUUCUUUUACUUAAGCGUCGGACAGGUGAGUAACAUGUGUAUAACCUUCCUAUAAGACUGGGGUAACUUCGUGAAACCGGAACCAAUUCCCGAUUAUAUAUUCAACCGCAUAGUUCAAUAGUUUAAGACCUUUUUGCUUUCAAUUAUAGCUGGUUCCGCUCGGCAUUAGCUAGUUGGUGAGGUAACGGCUUACCAAGGCAACGAUGCGUAGCCGGCCUGAGAGGGUGACCGGCCACACUGGAACUGAGACACGGUCCAGACUCCUACGGGAGGCAGCAGUAGGGAAUAUUGCGCAAUGGGCGAAAGCCUGACGGAGCAACGCCGCGUGAGUGAUGAAGGUCUUCGGAUCGUAAAACUCUGUUAUUGGGGAAGAAGAAAUGUGUAAGUAAAUCUGCACGUAUUGACGGUACCUGAACAGAAAGCAACGGCUAACUACGUG